rnacentral:rRNA from 1 species
UACGUAGGGUGCGAGCGUUAAUCGGAAUUACUGGGCGUAAAGGGUGCGCAGGCGGCUCCGCAUGUCGGGCGUGAAAUCCCCGGGCUUAACCUGGGAAUUGCGUCCGAAACUAUGGAGCUGGAGUGUGGCAGAGGGAGGUGGAAUUCCACGUGUAGCGGUGAAAUGCGUAGAGAUGUGGAGGAACACCAAUGGCGAAGGCAGCCUUCUGGGCCAACACUGACGCUCAUGCACGAAAGCGUGGGGAGCAAACAGG